GAUGAACGCUAGCUACAGGCUUAACACAUGCAAGUCGAGGGGUAGCAGGGUAGCAAUACCGCUGACGACCGGCGCACGGGUGAGUAACACGUAUCCAACCUUCCCAUAACUCGGGGAUAGCCUUUCGAAAGAAAGAUUAAUACCCGAUAGUACUUAACAAAGGCAUCUUUGAUAAGUUUAAGAUUUAUUGGUUAUGGAUGGGGAUGCGUUUCAUUAGAUAGUUGGUGAGGUAACGGCUCACCAAGUCUUCGAUGGAUAGGGGUUCUGAGAGGAAGGUCCCCCACAUUGGUACUGAGACACGGACCAAACUCCUACGGGAGGCAGCAGUGAGGAAUAUUGGUCAAUGGGCGAGAGCCUGAACCAGCCAAGUAGCGUGAAGGAUGAAGGUCCUAUGGAUUGUAAACUUCUUUUAUAGUAGAAUAAAGUGACCUACGUGUAGGUUUUCGUAUGUAUACUAUGAAUAAGGAUCGGCUAACUCCGUGCCAGCAGCCGCCGUAACAC
rnacentral:rRNA from 1 species